rnacentral:lncRNA from 1 species
GACUGUUGUCAUAUCCUAAACUAACCUUCCUUCCUUCCUUCCNUGAGGCUGGAAAGGUGCGUGCUCGGAUUGCCGGAGGGCCGGUCUCGACCCGUGCGUACGGAAAUGAAGCUGCCGUUUGUGACGAGCGUGGGCAUCAGGAAGCCAGAUGAAUUUUUUUGGGAGUCUGUAAGAGCAUCAAGUAACUCUGUUCAGUCUCCUGUAUCUCGUCACCUAUGAAGAAUGUUAGAUAAUUUCAUCUGACCCAGAGCCCCACAGCCUGCUGGUGAAUUAAAGAUCUACAUGAAUGUUCUCUGGAAAAAAAGGGGGUAAGUGCC